rnacentral:rRNA from 1 species
AUUGAACGCUGGCGGCAGGCUUAACACAUGCAAGUCGAGCGGAGCGAGGGUGCUUGCACCUUAGCUUAGCGGCGGACGGGUGAGUAAUGCUUAGGAAUCUGCCUAUUAGUGGGGGACAACGUUCCGAAAGGAAUGCUAAUACCGCAUACGCCCUACGGGGGAAAGCAGGGGAUCUUCGGACCUUGCGCUAAUAGAUGAGCCUAAGUCGGAUUAGCUAGUUGGUGGGGUAAAGGCCUACCAAGGCGACGAUCUGUAGCGGGUCUGAGAGGAUGAUCCGCCACACUGGGACUGAGAGACGGCCCAGACUCCUACGGGAGGCAGCAGUGGGGAAUAUUGGACAAUGGGGGGAACCCUGAUCCAGCCAUGCCGCGUGUGUGAGGAAGGCCUUUUGGUUGUAAAGCACUUUAAGCGAGGAAGAGGCUACCGAGAUUAAUACUCUUGGAUAGUGGACGUUACUCGCAGAAUAAGCACCGGCUAACUCUGUGCCAGCCGCCGCGGUAAGAC